UACGAAGGGGGCUAGCGUUGUUCGGAAUUACUGGGCGUAAAGGGCGCGUAGGCGGCUGUGCAAGUCAGAUGUGAAAGCCCUGGGCUCAACCCAGGAUGUGCAUUUGAUACUGCACGGCUAGAGUGUCGGAGAGGAUGGUGGAAUUCCCAGUGUAGAGGUGAAAUUCGUAGAUAUUGGGAAGAACACCGGUGGCGAAGGCGACCAUCUGGACGACAACUGACGCUGAGGCGCGAAAGCGUGGGGAGCAAACAGG
rnacentral:rRNA from 1 species